CCGCUAGGUGGCAGUCCUUGCGCUUCUGUUGUUAGUUGACGUCCACGAAGAAGAUCGUGCGUCAUGUUUAGCUCCCUGUGUUUUGUUUUCAUCUGCAACACAUUCUGCUCUAGUUAUAUUAUUAUACAUAUUACACUAGCAGGGCGAAUUUCUCCAAAUCCAUUCCUAAGGACAAUCUCUCUACACCUUUAAUGGCAUGAGAAUGUCAUUGCGAUGCUGGAGCAUGAUGGGAAAGUGCCAGUGAAAAAAGGCACUAGUGAAUUACUGAAGAACAUCUCAAAACUCACCCGCCUUCAACGUCUGUCAAAUUACACUUCAUUUAGUAAACUGCCCAUUGAAUCCUUUAGUAAAUGUAAUUUGUUCUGGA